rnacentral:rRNA from 1 species
GUCUGUGGCCAGACCACCCCGAACGCGCCCAAUCUCUUGUGGUCUCAGAAGCUAAGCAGGGUCGGACCUGGUUAGGAUCUGGAUGGGAGACAGACC